UACAGAGGUCUCAAGCGUUGCUCGGAUUCAUUGGGCGUAAAGGGCGCGUAGGCGGCAAGGCAAGUCGGGUGUGAAAGCUUGGGGCUUAACCCCGAAAGGGCACUCGAAACUGCCCUGCUAGAGGGCCGGAGAGGAGAUCGGAAUUCACGGUGUAGCAGUGAAAUGCGUAGAGCUCGUGAGGAAGACCGGUGGCGAAGGCGGAUCUCUGGACGGCCCCUGACGCUGAGGCGCGAAGGCUAGGGGAGCAAACGGG
rnacentral:rRNA from 1 species